CAGAGAUAAAAACACAACGUAUACAGAUUCUGUAUAUAGAGCCGGUAGGUAGUCCGGCCGUAUUCAUAGGAUUGAGAGGCUCCAUGGCAUUUUAGUACAGCGGGUGUCGCCCCACAAUUGAAUAUAAGUAACCCUCCCUCCUUGGGUCGUCCAUUCUCUGUGUAUUG
rnacentral:ncRNA from 1 species